ACUCGAUAAUCGACGUAUACUCAACCUUCUCUCGACACCAGCAUGUGUACUGCCGUUGUAAGCAUACCUUUAAAAGAUAGUAUGCUACUAUGAUUAUAACUCAUAUACAUCAGGUCAAAGUGCAGCUAAUAAGAAGGAGAUGAUGGGUUACAACCCCAAACCAGACUAUCAACUAAGAAAUUAAAAAUCUUACGAAAGUGGACUUGGCCGUAAUCAAUUCUAAUUUAAAGAAAUGAAUAAAAUCUAAGACAUGCACACAUCGCCCGUCACUCUAUCCUAAAGGUUAGAUAAGUCGUAACAAAGUAGGUGUAAUGGAAAUUGUACCUGUCGAAGUAUAGCAUAUAUAAUGCUUUUUACUUACAUUAAAAAUAAAGAUUAAUCUUACUUCGCCCAAAAUAAAAAUCUUAAAAUUUUAUUUAAAUAUAAACAAUUAAAUUAAUAACUACAUAGUACAGAAAUGGAAAUACUAAUAAAUAAAAGUAAAUUUUAAUAAAUAUACCUUGUGCAUUAUGGUUUUACAAGAAAAAAAUUAAAAUAUAGAUCCCGAAUUCUAAAUGAGAUGUUAAACUGCUGUCAUGAACCCAUUAAUAGCUGUGGAAAAAGCUUUAAAAGAUAGAUUAACAGAGGCUACAUACCAUUCGCAUAAGAAUAUAGCUGGUUUUCAACUAAUAUUAUACAUUAAAACAUAUAAUAACAUUAUAGUGUAAAAUUAUUGAGGAUAAGCCCAAUAAUUGAUGCAAUAUUAAUACACUCUAGUAUGUUCAAUAGGCCUAAAAUCAGCCAAUUAAAAUACUUUAUCGUUUAACAAGCUGAUAAAAUUCAUAUUAUUAUAUGCUAAAUAAAGUUGAAAUAAUGAGAAAACUUACUACUCACCUAUAAAAUGUAAAAAUUAGUAUUAUAAAUAAAUAACUAUACAAAUCUAGAAACAACACCACAUAUAACACGAUAAUUAAUUAAGGAACUCGGCAAACCACUAUUUCGACUGUUUAACAAAAACAUUGUCUUAUGAACAUAAUAUAAGAUAG
rnacentral:rRNA from 1 species